GUGCCAGCAGCCGCGGUAAUACGGGAGUGGCAAGCGUUAUCCGGAAUUAUUGGGCGUAAAGCGUCCGCAGGCGGCCCUUCAAGUCUGCUGUUAAAAAGUGGAGCUUAACUCCAUCAUGGCAGUGGAAACUGAGGGGCUUGAGUGUGGUAGGGGCAGAGGGAAUUCCCGGUGUAGCGGUGAAAUGCGUAGAUAUCGGGAAGAACACCAGUGGCGAAGGCGCUCUGCUGGGCCAUCACUGACGCUCAUGGACGAAAGCCAGGGGAGCGAAAGGGAUUAGAUACCCCUGUAGUCCUGGCCGUAAACGAUGAACACUAGGUGUCGGGGGAAUCGACCCCCUCGGUGUCGUAGCCAACGCGUUAAGUGUUCCGCCUGGGGAGUACGCACGCAAGUGUGAAACUCAAAGGAAUUGACGGGGGCCCGCACAAGCGGUGGAGUAUGUGGUUUAAUUCGAUGCAACGCGAAGAACCUUACCAGGGUUUGACAUCCUGCGAAUCUCUUGGAAACGAGAGAGUGCCUUCGGGAACGCAGUGACAGGUGGUGCAUGGCUGUCGUCAGCUCGUGUCGUGAGAUGUUGGGUUAAGUCCCGCAACGAGCGCAACCCACGUCUUUAGUUGCCAGCAUUUAGUUGGGCACUCUAGAGAGACCGCCGGUGAUAAACCGGAGGAAGGUGUGGAUGACGUCAAGUCAUCAUGCCCCUUUACAUUCCUGGGCUACACACGUACUACA
rnacentral:rRNA from 1 species